CGUAGGGGGCUAGCGUUGUCCGGAAUCAUUGGGCGUAAAGCGCGUGUAGGCGGCCUUGUAAGUCCGUUCUGAAAGUCCGGGGCUCAACCCCGGGAGGCGGAUGGAUACUGCAAGGCUCGAGUCCGGAAGAGGCGAGUGGAAUUCCCGGUGUAGCGGUGAAAUGCGCAGAUAUCGGGAGGAACACCAAUGGCGAAGGCAGCUCGCUGGGACGGUACUGACGCUGAGACGCGAAAGCGUGGGGAGCAAACAGGAUUAGAUACCCUGGUAGUCCACGCCGUAAACGAUGGACACUAGGUGUGGGGGGUGUCGACUCCCUCCGUGCCGAAGCUAACGCAUUAAGUGUCCCGCCUGGGGAGUACGGCCGCAAGGCUA
rnacentral:rRNA from 1 species